rnacentral:rRNA from 1 species
GACGAACGCUGGCGGCGUGCUUAACACAUGCAAGUCGAACGGAAAGGCCCUGCUUUUGUGGGGUGCUCGAGUGGCGAACGGGUGAGUAACACGUGAGUAACCUGCCCUUGACUUUGGGAUAACUUCAGGAAACUGGGGCUAAUACCGGAUAGGAGCUCCUGCUGCAUGGUGGGGGUUGGAAAGUUUCGGCGGUUGGGGAUGGACUCGCGGCUUAUCAGCUUGUUGGUGGGGUAGUGGCUUACCAAGGCUUUGACGGGUAGCCGGCCUGAGAGGGUGACCGGCCACAUUGGGACUGAGAUACGGCCCAGACCCCGACGGGAGGCAGAAGUGGGGAAGAUUGAACAAUGGGCGGAAGCCUGAUGCAGCAACGCCGCGUGCGGGAUGACGGCCUUCGGGUUGUAAACCGCUUUCGCCUGUGACGAAGCGUGAGUGACGGUAAUGGGUAAAGAAGCACCGGCUAACUACGUG